UACGGGGGGGGCAAGCGUUGUUCGGAAUUACUGGGCGUAAAGGGCGCGUAGGUGGCCUUCUUAGUCAGACGUGAAAUCCCUCGGCUCAACCGGGGAACUGCGUCUGAUACUGGGCGGCUUGAAUCCGGGAGGGGGAUGCGGAAUUCCAGGUGUAGCGGUGAAAUGCGUAGAUAUCUGGAGGAACACCGGUGGCGAAGGCGGCAUCCUGGACCGGUAUUGACGCUGAGGCGCGAAAGCCAGGGGAGCAAACGGG
rnacentral:rRNA from 1 species